GCGCCGCUGCCGGGGCCGCGCGGCCCGCGCCGCUGAGGGCCCCGGGAGCGCCGUCGGCACGGGCGGGCUGGGAUGGACUUCGUAAAUAAAAGUGCGCCGGCCCGGCUCUGUGCUCUCAUCGUACGUGCUGUAUCUGCCUUUGAGCUCUCCCCGCGAAACCGGAGAGACUGACCGGGAGGGGCCGGGAAUAACGUAGUGGGUGACACGGUUCUGACGGACGCUCGGCGCACAGGGAUGACAGCAGUGCUCGGGGAACCCCUGGUUUCCACCCCCACUUCACUAAGAAGCUGGUGCUAAAGAACACCCAGCAAAUACGUUUAAUUAAUACAUGCACAGAAUACCUCCUACUUUAAUCCUUCAUUACAUGAGCUCCUCUGAACGAUUCAGACUGAUUCCAGCCAGCUACAGCAUAUUCUCUUUGCUUUAUUGGACAGGUUCAUCAAAUAGAGCAGUGGGUUGGAUUUGGAGUUCUGUGUUCCUGCCAGAUAUGACUACCCAACAAGAUUACUCAGGGAAGCUCACGGCAGCUCUCUCAUUUCCCACUGGGAAUGGCUGCUUUA